rnacentral:rRNA from 1 species
GACGAACGCUGGCGGCGUGCUUAACACAUGCAAGUCGAACGGAAAGGCCCUGCUUUUGUGGGGUGCUCGAGUGGCGAACGGGUGAGUAACACGUGAGUAACCUGCACUUAUAUUUGGGAUAACUUCUGGAAACUGGGGCUAAUACCGGAUAGGAGCUCCUGCUGCGUGUGGGUGGAUGGAAAGUUUCGGCGGUUGGGGCUGGACUCGCGGCUUAUGAGCUGGUUGGUGGGGUAGGUGAGUUCCAAGGGUGUGACGGGUAGCCGGCCUGAGAGGGGGAACGGCCACAUUGGGCCUGAGAUACGGACCAGAAGCCUAUGGGCGGCAGCAGUGGGGAAUAUUGCACAACGGGCGGAAGCCUGAGGCGGCAAUGUCGCGAGCGGGAUGCCGGCCUUCGAGUUGUAAACCGAUUUCGACUGUGCCGAACAGUGAGUGACGGUAAUGGGUAAAGAAGCACCGGCUAACUACGUG